GACGAACGCUGGCGGCGUGCUUAACACAUGCAAGUCGAACGGAAAGGCCCUGCUCUUGUGGCGUGCUCGAGUGGCAAACGUGUGAAUAACACGUGAGUAGCGUGACCUCGGCUGGGGGAGAACUUCAGGAAACUGGGGGUAAUGCCGCGAAGGAGGUCCUGCGCCAAGGUGGGGGCUGGAGAGUUACGGCGGUUGUGGAUGGACAAGCGGCUUAUCAGGUUGUUGGUGGGGUAGUGGCUUACCAAGGCAUCGACGGGUAGCCGGCCUGGGAGGGUGACCGGCCACAUUGGGACUGAGAUACGGCCCAGACUCCUACGGGAGGCAGCAGUGGGGAAUAUUGCACAAUGGGCGGAAGCCUGAUGCAGCAACGCCGCGUGCGGGAUGACGGCCUUCGGGUUGUAACCCGCUUUCGCCUGUGACGAAGCGUGAGUGACGGUAAUGGGUAAAGAAGCACCGGCUAACUACGUG
rnacentral:rRNA from 1 species